rnacentral:lncRNA from 1 species
AAAAAAGUUAACAGCUUAAGUCAUUUGUGGAUUAAUGCUUAUUGCUGACGCGAACCGUUUCAAACGAUUCAGUUCGAUUUGGUGAACUGGUUCAAGAAGAUCCGGUUACAUCGAGUGAUUCGUUCGCGAACCGGAUGUCCUGUGAACGCGCUCAUAACAGACCCGGGACGGAGAAGUCAAUGCUGAAUAAAGUACGUAGUUUUUGUAUAUUUUUGGUACCAAAACUUUAAUUUUCGUAUGCUUCUAAAAAAUUAACUAACGGACCCGUCCUGCUUUCUGGGCGUGGACAGUAUACCGUACAUACAUUCUCAAUGGAGGGACAGAAAGCUCUCGGACUAAAUCUAAAAUAUCUUAAACUGUGUUCCGAAGAUGAACGGAGGUCUUACGGGUUUGUAACGACAUGAGGGUGAGUCAUUAAUGACAUAAUUUUCAUUUUUGGGUGAACUAUCCCUUUAAGUCCAUUCCUGAUGUAACUCUACAUUUAGGUGUCACUGUAAGCCAGACACAUUAAACACAAAGAGCUGCAGAAAAAAUAAGGUGGAAUAAGAAUCCUGAAAUCCUUCACGACUCCUCAGAGCUUCCUCAACAAAAACUGAAAUAAGAAAACUAAUGACAGCACACAAAUAAAACAGAAUCAAUAUUAUGAAAUAUGACAUAUAAUAAUUAAUUGUAGUUUUAUAACUAAUUUACAAAGUAUUUUUCUCUGAAAGAGCUGUUUGAGUCACUUCAUAUUUUUUUAUUUCUUCACAGAUUUACCAACAUCUACACUGACUGUGACUCCAGACAGUCCUGUAUUCACUGGAGAGAGAGUGAUUCUGAAGUGUGUGAUUGAGUCUUACAGUAACUGGAGAUAUGAGUGGUAUAAAGGCAGUGUAAUGUUACAGACGUCUGAGCGUUACACUGUAAACAGAGAUACACUCACUAUCACAGCAGUAACUACAUCUGAUGCGGGUCAGUUCUGGUGUAGAGGACAGAGAGAUGAAAGACCAAAAUCAUCACAAUCAAGCUCUGCUGUUCCUGUCACUGUGACGGCGAGACCAAAAGCUGUAGUGAAGGUGACUCCAGAUCAGCGUGUGUUCAGAGGAGAGACAGUCACUCUCACAUGUGACAUACAGAGAUAUAUAUGUCACAGGACAAUACAGAUUUGCUGUCAGAGUUUUUAUUACUGAAAAUCAAUCAGU